rnacentral:rRNA from 1 species
AGCAGCCGCGGUAAUUCCAGCUCCAAUAGCGUAUAUUAAAGUUGUUGCAGUUAAAAAGCUCGUAGUUGAAUUUCGGGAUCAAUAUGUUGGUCGUGCCUUGGUACGUACUGGCAUUAUCGAUUCCUACCUUCUGAAGAACCUCGAUGUCAUUAAUUUGGUGUCUUGGGGAAUCAGGACUGUUACUUUGAAAAAAUUAGAGUGUUUAAAGCAGGCUCGCGCUUGAAUACAUUAGCAUGGAAUAAUGAAAUAGGACGUUUGAUUCUAUUUUGUUGGUUUCUAGGAUUGACGUAAUGAUUAAUAGGGAUAGUUGGGGGCAUUAGUAUUCAAUUGUCAGAGGUGAAAUUCUUGGAUUUAUUGAAGACUAACUACUGCGAAAGCAUUUGCCAAGGAUGUUUUCAUUAAUCAAGAACGAAAGUUAGGGGAUCGAAGACGAUCAGAUACCGUCGUAGU